AUCUGGUCCCAGGGUUGGGGAACCUGACAUCUGUGACCUUCCUUCAUCCAUCCUUCGUUCCUUUUGUCUAGGUCCAUGUUCAGGAGCUGGGAUGCUCCAAGGAAGCCAAAAACCUGCCCCUCAUGAGGCAGGAGCAUGUGGGACAGUAGGGAAACAGGUGACAGUGCCACUGAAUGGUGCCACCAGGGCAGGCCUGCUGAAAUGCAGGGGCUUUGGCGCCACUGUGCCACCCCCAGCCCACCAUGUGACCCAGAUCCAGCUUGGUGACCUACGCCAUUUUCCUUCUUGCAGACAAGGGCUGCUGGCCAUGACUUCCCUCAGUUUUCCUCUGAGAUGGUAAGGGAUGCUCCAUAAAAACAAUGACACCCACCACAAUAAUAAGUGCUUUGAAUUUUUAUAGCACAUCAUAGUUUCUAGAAGUCUUUCACUGACCUCCUUUCCCCCAGGGAGCUAAUUGUUUUAUCCCCGGGGACCUCCAUCUCCUGCACUUCCUGCUUUGCAUCUGUCUACACUCUCCGUAAUUGCUGACUUACUCUGCUGUCUCUUCCACCAGACAGUGAGUCAUUAAAGGCAAAGGCUGUGUCUGUUUAGUUGUUUUAUCUUCAUAAACCUGACACAGCAUCUCAGUAUACAUAUUUUCUAAUUAGUAGGCAAUUUUUGGGCCAUUUUGGAUUUACAGAAAAACUGAGCAGAUAGCACACAGAGUCCCCACAUGCCUCCCUCCCCAGUACACUUUCCUCUAUUACUAGUAUCUUGGAUAGUGUGGUAUGCUUGUUAACCUAGUGAACAAAUAUUAAUAUAUUAUUAUGAACUAAAGUCUAUGCUUUGUAUUAUUGUUCAUUCUUUGUAUUGUAAAUUUCUCUGAUUUUAACAAAUGCAUAAUAUCAUGUACCCACAGUUACAGUAUCCAUUCAUAGUGAGACUGUUUUCACCAUCCUACAAAUCCCCUGUGCUUCAUCUGCUCAUCAUCCCCCCUACCCUUCCAACUUCUGAUAAUCAUUGAAGUUCUACUGUCUCCAUAGGUUUGCUUUUCCUAGAAUGCCACACAACUGGAAUCAUACAGUAUGUGGCCUUCACAGAGCAGCUUCUUUCUCUUGGAAAUGUACAUUUAGGGUUCAUUAUUGUCGUUUCAUGGCUUGAGAGCUCAUUCGUUUUUAGUUGCUGAAUAACAUAUUAAUGUAUUGCUAUAUCACAAUUUGUUUAUCUGUCAUACAUAGAAGGAGUUCUUAAUUGUUUCCAAUUUUUGGCAACUGGCAAUUAUGAAUAAAACCGCUAUAAACUGUUGUGUGGUGUUUUUU
rnacentral:lncRNA from 1 species